rnacentral:rRNA from 1 species
GUGGGGAAUAUUGGACAAUGGGCGAAAGCCUGAUCCAGCCAUGCCGCGUGUGUGAAGAAGGUCUUCGGAUUGUAAAGCACUUUAAGUUGGGAGGAAGGGCAGUAAGUUAAUACCUUGCUGUUUUGACGUUACCGACAGAAUAAGCACCGGCUAACUUCGUGCCAGCAGCCGCGGUAAUACGAAGGGUGCAAGCGUUAAUCGGAAUUACUGGGCGUAAAGCGCGCGUAGGUGGUUUUGUAAGUUGGAGGUGAAAUCCCCGGGCUCAACCGGGGAACUGCCUCCACAACUGCAUGCAUAGAGUACGGUAGAGGGUAGUGGAAUUUCCUGUGUAGCGGUGAAAUGCGUAGAUAUAGGAAGGAACACCAGUGGCGAAGGCGACUACCUGGACUGAUACUGACACUGAGGUGCGAAAGCGUGGGGAGCAAACAGGAUUAGAAACCCUGGUAGUCC